GAUGAACGCUGGCGGCGUGCCUAAUACAUGCAAGUCGAGCGAACGGACGAGAAGCUUGCUUCUCUGAUGUUAGCGGCGGACGGGUGAGUAACACGUGGAUAACCUACCUAUAAGACUGGGAUAACUUCGGGAGACCGGAGCUAAUACCGGAUAAUAUUUUGAACCGCAUGGUUCAAAAGUAAAAGACGGUCUUGCUGUCACUUAUAGAUGGAUCCGCGCUGCAUUAGCUAGUUGGUAAGGUAACGGCUUACCAAGGCAACGAUGCAUAGCCGACCUGAGAGGGUGAUCGGCCACACUGGAACUGAGACACGGUCCAGACUACUACGGGAGGCAGCAGUAGGGAAUCUUCCGCAAUGGGCGAAAGCCUGACGGAGCAACGCCGCGUGAGUGAUGAAGGUCUUCGGAUCGUAAAACUCUGUUAUUAGGGAAGAACAUAUGUGUAAGUAACUGUGCACAUCUUGACGGUACCUAAUCAGAAAGCCACGGCUAACUACGUG
rnacentral:rRNA from 1 species